AUUGAACGCUGGCGGCAUGCCUUACACAUGCAAGUCGAACGGUAACGGGCCUUCGGGUGCCGACGAGUGGCGAACGGGUGAGUAAUACAUCGGAACGUGCCCGAUCGUGGGGGAUAACGAGGCGAAAGCUUUGCUAAUACCGCAUACGAUCUACGGAUGAAAGCAGGGGACCGCAAGGCCUUGCGCGGACGGAGCGGCCGAUGGCAGAUUAGGUAGUUGGUGGGAUAAAAGCUUACCAAGCCGACGAUCUGUAACUGGUCUGAGAGGAUGAUCAGCCACACUGGGACUGAGACACGGCCCAGACUCCUACGGGAGGCAGCAGUGGGGAAUUUUGGACAAUGGGCGCAAGCCUGAUCCAGCCAUGCCGCGUGCAGGAUGAAGGCCUUCGGGUUGUAAACUGCUUUUGUACGGAACGAAAAGCCUUCUUUUAAUACAGGAGGGUCAUGACGGUACCGUAAGAAUAAGCACCGGCUAACUACGUG
rnacentral:rRNA from 1 species